UACGAAGGGGGCUAGCGUUGCUCGGAAUUACUGGGCGUAAAGGGCGCGUAGGCGGCUGCCGUAGUCAGGCGUGAAAUUCCCGGGCUCAACCUGGGGGCUGCGCUUGAUACGCGGCGGCUAGAGGACGGAAGAGGCUCGCGGAAUUCCCAGUGUAGAGGUGAAAUUCGUAGAUAUUGGGAAGAACACCGGUGGCGAAGGCGGCGAGCUGGUCCGUUACUGACGCUGAGGCGCGACAGCGUGGGGAGCAAACAGG
rnacentral:rRNA from 1 species